GAAAUGCGAUAAGUAAUGUGAAUUGCAGAAUUCAGUGAACCAUCGAAUCUUUGAACGCAUAUUGCGUCCCUUGGCAUUCCGAGGGGCAUACCUGUUCGAGCGUCAUCACAACCCUCAAGCU
rnacentral:misc_RNA from 1 species